rnacentral:rRNA from 1 species
AUAGGGGAAUCCUUGACGCAGCAACGCCGCGUGGAGGACGAAGGUUUUCGGAUUGUAAACUCCUGUCCUCUGGGACGAUAAUGACGGUACCAGAGGAGGAAGCCACGGCUAACUACGUGCCAGCAGCCGCGGUAAUACGUAGGUGGCAAGCGUUGUCCGGAAUUACUGGGCGUAAAGGGCGCGUAGGCGGUACCCUAAGUCAGAUGUGAAAACCCGGAGCUUAACUUCGGAACUGCAUUUGAAACUGGGGAACUCGAGUGUCGGAGAGGAAAGCGGAAUUCCUAGUGUAGCGGUGAAAUGCGUAGAUAUUAGGAGGAACACCAGUGGCGAAGGCGGCUUUCUGGACGAUAACUGACGCUGAGGCGCGAAAGCGUGGGGAGCAAACAGGAUUAGAUACCCUGGUAGUCCACGCUGUAAACGAUGGAUACUAGGUGUGGGAGGGAUCGAACCCUUCCGUGCCGCAGUAAACGCAAUAAGUAUCCCGCCUGGGGAGUACG